rnacentral:rRNA from 1 species
UACGUAGGGGGCAAGCGUUGUCCGGAUUUAUUGGGCGUAAAGAGCGUGUAGGCGGCUAGACAGGUCCGCUGUGAAAACUCGAGGCUCAACCUCGAGACGUCGGUGGAAACCGUCUGGCUAGAGUCCGGAAGAGGAGAGUGGAAUUCCAGGUGUAGCGGUGAAAUGCGUAGAUAUCAAGUGGAACACCAGUGGCGAAGGCGAGUCUCUGGACAUUUCCUGACGCUGAGGCACGAAAGCCAGGGGAGCAAACGGG